CAGCUUUUCUGGAUGACAUUCUCGAGUGCCAACCAGUGCCUGGUUUGAUUUAAAUUUUAUGGUUAUGUCCUCCCAGUGUUUUUUUUUAUACGGAGGACAGUGUGUUUAGAAAAAAAGGAAAGAGUAACAUCUGUGCGCUAGAAUAGUAAGGUUUAUAGUGACCAUUUCGAACCCUGGAUUGAAAAAAAGGAGUCUGUUUUCCAUAUGGAGCGGGAAGUGUCACGGACGAGAAAGGAAUAAAAAAAGGAUAGAACCAGUGGAGAAAUUUUAUUUAUGACCAUAAUACGUUUGCAGGAUGUCCAAAGUCAAGGGAUUUGCCCUUUUUUUUGGAGAAAGUUUGAAUUCGGAUGUUUCCCUGUUGUCAUUUAUUGGUUCUUAAUUUUUCACCAGGUUGUGCUGUUCUUCGAAGGGAGUACGUGAAUAUGCCUAUUGCAUAGUUGGAUGCAUUGGUGGUGAGCACAAAGAGUUUCUCGAAUUUUGGGUACUGCAACAAGGGUUUAGUACAUAUUGUAUCACGCAGGACUUUAAAAGCUUCCUGAGUUUCAGGGCUCCAAAUGAAUUCGGCGUUAUCUUUAAGAAGUAAGAUUUUUCUUCCCUUUUGGAACAGGAAACUUUUUCACAGAGUCCGUCUUCCUGGGAUCUGGUCUUACUCCAUCCUGAGUUAUCACAUGCCCCAAAUAAGCGAUUUCUCGUUUAAGGAAAUGGCCUUUCUCCGGUUGUAGCGCCAGCCCAGCUGAUUUCAAUCGACCAAGGAGAGAUGUUAAUUUUCGAGAAUAUUCUUCGAGUGAGGCUGCAUAGACGACUAUGUCGUCCAUCUAGACAAAUAGUUCUAUGCCUUGAAGACCUGUAAGUACACUAUCCAUGAUCCCUUGAAAGGUAGCUGGAGCAUUCUUAAGGCCGAAGGGCAUCCGAGUGAACUCAAUGUGCGCAUAGGGAAUUGAGAAGGCUGUUUUUGAUUGAGAGUCUGGAUCUAGACGGAUCUGAUGAAAUCCGGAAGCUAAAUCUAGUAUUGAAAAAUACUUAGCUCCUCCAAGUUGAUCCAAUAUAUCCGUUAUGUUUGGAAGGGGGUAAGCAUCUCCCACAGUUUUCUCGUUUAGAGAGCGGUAAUCGAGAACCAUCCUCUAUCUCUUCUUACCUUCCGGGCGAGCCUUUUUAGGGACUAUCCAUAAAGGGGAGUUGUAUGGAGAAGUAGAAGGUUAAACGAUACCAGAAGCAAUUAAUUUAUCAGUUUGUUCGCGGAUUUCAUCUCUGUGAAUUGGGGGAUAACGAUAUUGUUUUGUAUUAAUGGGCCUAUCGUCGGUGGUAAUUAUUUUGUGGCUCAACACAUUUGUGGCACCCAACUGAUCGCCUUCUAAGAAAAAUUGAGGAGAAAAUUUAGUGGUAAUGUUAACUUAACCUUAUGAAGAGUGGAGUUGACAAUAUACAUUCUGGCGAUUCCAUUCUGAUUGCGAACUAAAGUUUCACCCGCAAAAAUACCAGGUAUUUGGAUGGUUUUAUGAGAAAUAAAAGGAAAUCGAUCUUCGCCCAUGCAAGGUUUGUUUUCAACGAAAUUAAUGACAGCUUGAUGCUGCAUAAGGAAGAUUAUUCCAAUUAUUCCUUCUUGUGAUAUCAGGAAAGACUGAGGAAUAAUAUGAAAGGGAGUUUCGAGACCCCUAAUCAUCAGUGUGAUUUCGCCAAGAGUACGGAUCAUGUUUGAUCCGAUUCCUACUAGAUUGAAGACUAUCUCUAUUUACACGAGUCCAGGAAUGGAUCACAUUUUCUUUAAUUAAGCUGACCUUAGCCCCAGUGUCAAUCAUAAAGAGACACUUUCCUGAAAUAAAAGAUGGCUGCCUUAUUUCUACUGUUACAGCUGGACCCGCCUCCUUCGCCCCUCUUAGUCUGAGGACAACUCUUUGA